CCAGUCGGCCGGGCAGUCGCGUCCUCGGUGCGCGAGCACCGGGGCCGAGGAAAGUCCGGGCUCCUUCCGACACGGUGGUGGGCAACACCCACCCGGAGCGAUCCGCGGGACAGUGCCACAGAGAGCAGACCGCCGCCGCUCGGCCUCGCGCCGAGGGGAGGUAAGGGUGAAAGGGUGGUGCAAGAGACCACCGCGGUUCCGGUGACGGAACCGGCACGGUAAACCCCACCGGGAGCAAGGCCAGACAGGGGGCGCUCGAGGUCGUCGGACCGAGCCCCCGGGUAGGCCGCUGGAGGUCGUCGGCAACGGCGAUCCGAGAUGGAUGACUGCCGAUCACAGAACCCGGCUUACAGGCCGGCUGGUCCG
rnacentral:RNase_P_RNA from 1 species